rnacentral:rRNA from 1 species
AUUGAACGCUGGCGGCAGGCUUAACACAUGCAAGUCGAGCGAGCGGCGGACGGGUGAGUAAUGUCUGGGAAACUGCCUGAUGGAGGGGGAUAACUACUGGAAACGGUAGCUAAUACCGCAUACCAUCAGAUGUGCCCAGAUGGGAUUAGCUAGUAGGUGGGGUAAUGGCUCACCUAGGCGACGCUCCCUAGCUGUUCUGCUAGGAUGACCAGCACAACUGGAACGGAGACAAGGUCCAGAAUCCUACGGUAGGCAGCAGUGGGGAAUAUUGCACAAUGGGCGCAAGCCUGAUGCAGCCAUGCCGCGUGUGUGAAGAAGGCCGUCGGGUUGUAAAGCACUUUCAGCGAGGAGGCGUUACUCGCAGAAGAAGCACCGGCUAACGCCGUGCCAGCAGCCGCGGUAAUAC